UAGGGAAUCUCCCACAAUGGACGCAAGUCUGAUGGAGCAACGCCGCGUGAGUGAAGAAGGUUUUCGGACCGUAAAGCUCUGUUGUUGGUGAAGAAGGAUAGAGGUAGUAACUGGCCUUUAUUUGACGGUAAUCAACCAGAAAGUCACGGCUAACUACGUGCCAGCAGCCGCGGUAAUCGUAGGUGGCAAGCGUUGUCCGGAUUUAUUGGGCGUAAAGCGAGCGCAGGCGGAAGAAUAAGUCUGAUGUGAAAGCCCUCGGCUUAACCGAGGAAUUGCAUCGGAAACUGUUUUUCUUGAGUGCAGAAGAGGAGAGUAGAACUCCAUGUGUAGCGGUGGAAUGCGUAGAUAUAUGGAAGAAUACCAGUGGCGAAGGCGGCUCUCUGGUCUGCAACUGACGCUGAGGCUCGAAAGCAUGGGUAGCGAACAGGAUUAGAUACCCUGGUAGUCCAUGCCGUAAACGAUGAGUGCUAAGUGUUGGGAGGCUUCCGCCUCUCAGUGCUGCAGCUAACGCAUUAAGCACUCCGCCUGGGGGAGUACGACCGCAAGGUUGAAAC
rnacentral:rRNA from 1 species